GAUGAACGCUGGCGGCGUGCUUAACACAUGCAAGUCGAACGGAAAGGCUCCUGCUUGCAGGGGUACUCGAGUGGCGAACGGGUGAGUAACACGUGGGUGAUCUGCCCAGCACUUCGGGAUAAGCCUGGGAAACUGGGUCUAAUACCGGAUAGGACGAUGGUUUGGAUGCCAUUGUGGAAAGUUUUUUCGGUGUGGGAUGAGCUCGCGGCCUAUCAGCUUGUUGGUGGGGUAAUGGCCUACCAAGGCGUCGACGGGUAGCCGGCCUGAGAGGGUGUACGGCCACAUUGGGACUGAGAUACGGCCCAGACUCCUACGGGAGGCAGCAGUGGGGAAUAUUGCACAAUGGGCACAAGCCUGAUGCAGCGACGCCGCGUGGGGGAUGACGGCCUUCGGGUUGUAAACUCCUUUCGCUAGGGACGAAGCGCAAGUGACGGUACCUGGAGAAGAAGCACCGGCUAACUACGUG
rnacentral:rRNA from 1 species